UUUAAUAGUUUUGUGCACAGGUUUUGAGGAUAUCAUUGUGGGUAAACCGCAAUUACUCCAUUUCAAUUUGUCAUUACCAAGGUCAUCUAUACUCCAUGGAAAGGCAGAAGAAAAUCAUGGCGGCGGCCAGAGGAGGAGACCGGCUGAGUGAUCUGCCGGAGCCAAUUCCUCUCUAAGUUGUGGGACGCAAAACAAGUUGUGCGAACCAGCCUACUCUCUACACGAUGGCGAUUUCUUUGGAUGCCCGUUCCAUUAUCACUCUGUUUCACUUUCCCCUAUAGUGGAAAUCAAAAUGAUACUGUUGCUUACCUGGCCUCCGUCCAUAGAGAGCUUUAUUAUUGGAAAUCUUGCAAGAAAAUCAAGAGAUUUGAUAUUGGGAGCCUUAGGUAUGACGAGAUUUAUUCUACAGAUGUUGAUUUAUGGAUACAUUUUGCUACUAAAGUUGCAAAUGUUGAAGUAUUUAAACUUUCAUUUAUUACUACAAGUCAACAUUAUUAUGAGUUUCCGCAGUUUGGGUAUAAAAAUUCGUCGUUAAAGGCAUUGGUUUUAAAUCAUUGUCAAUUGAACCCUUGUGGUAGUGUUAAUUGGAGUAAUUUGGUUUCUCUUUCAAUUGGGUUCAUGGAAUUGACGGAUGGUGCUAUGGAAAAGGUAUUAUCUGGUUGCCCUAACUUGGAACGCUUGGAAUUACAAAAAGUUUCGGGCAUACAACGUCUGGAAAUUAGAUCUGUGAAGAUGAUAGUAUUGACGAUAGAAGAGUACUACGAUAAGAAUCAUGAUAUUUGUCUUGAAAUAAUAGCCCCGCAUAUUUGGAAAUUCUGGGAUUGUGUAGUCAGAUACGCAUCGUGCAGAGAAAUGUUUCUUCACUUGUUUAUGCUAUCCUUCGUUUACAUUUUGAUUUUAAGGAUGAGGAAAGCAACUUAGAGAAGGAGUUUAGCUGUUUGAAGGAACUUCUUCAUGGUGUUGCCCAUGUCGAGUGUAUUGAACUGAGUAGCUGGUGCAUCGAGUGCCUGUCCAUUCUGGAGUUGAAAGGGUGGCAGUCUCCACCAUCAAGCCGGAAUUGGUUGGUCCUUAAAUUAGCCGACGACCAGUUGGACUUCCCUGGAAUUUGCAGCUUUCUACAGAGCUCAUUGGAUCUUGAGACAUUGGUCAUUGAUUGGUUUGAGGAUGCAUCAAGAGACCUGCUGUUAAGGUACACAAACGAGGAUAAACAAAUCCGGAGGUUUGAGACACAUAGUUGUAACGGCUCAUUUCCACAUCUGAAGACUGUCAAGAUCGAUAACCUUAGGGGCAACUAAGUGAAAAUAAGUUUGUGCUGCCAUUGGUAAAAUAUUUGCUCAAACAUGCGAUCGUGCUAGAAAAGUUUGUCAUUGCUGCAUCAUUCUUAGGGAGUGAUGCGUUUCCAGAUCAUGCUGAAAUGACACAGGAGUUCCUAAGACUUCCAAGAUCAUCUCCGCACAUUUCAGUUGUCUUUUCUCAUCAAUAACCUUUGACCCCUAUCGUUUUAACCAAUUGCAACAUAUCAAACUAAUUUUGUAAAGAAAGCUAAGCAGUGGAACCUUGGCACAUCGUGUAUGAUGGGGGAUUACAGAAGGAAAGAAAUAGUUUUGUGCUUUGAAGGAAAAGCUUUUUUGUAAACUGAGAAGUCUAUUGUAAUAUAUCUAUAUUUAUUGAGAUUGGCUAUUUGAACUGUCAAUGUUACUAUA